UUGGUCCCUGCAGUUUCACAGUGGGGCCGUGGUCCUCCAAGUCCCUGCAAUAUCACAAUGGAUCCUUGGUUCCCUGAGGUCUGGCACUGCAGCAAUGUUCUCCUUGGUUCCCACAGUCUUUUGUACCUCUUACUCUCAGACAAUAGAAGAACACCUGCCAGGUGCCACUUCAGAACAGGUAUGAGCCCCUGGAUCUGGAGAGUCAGCCACAUGAUUUAGAAGAAAAUUAUCUGUCCAUUGAGCCUCCCAAUUAUGAUUCAUGUCUGAGAAGGAUUACCACCUCUAGCAUCAAAAGGAAAGAAGGAUAAUCAUGGUGCCCUGUCUCAGCUUGAAAAGAAAACGGGGGAGCUCAGGGUAUUAGAGUGACUCUCUCCACCGCUACAGCAACAGAGAACUGUGAGACUGAAAAUUGAAAUGAUUGCAUCCCUCAUAAAGAAAGGAUGUUUUAGGGCAAUCCAAGUUACAGGAGCAGAGCCUUCUACAAUACGAUUGCCUAUCAAAAAGGGACAAGCUUGACUAGUAUUUGGUGAACUCUGGGGAGCUCCAGGAAGCCCUUUUAGGAGCUGGAGCUGUCGUGGAGACUGGGAAACUUCAUCCUAGUCCCCUCCAGUGGAUGACAGAAUGGGACUGGAUAACAAAGCCCAUUCGGAGUCUGUCACCAUUAAGGGGGGCUAUCACGGCCUUUACGGACACUGGUAAAAAGUCCAGGAGAGCAGCCGUGACAUGGAAACAGCAAGGACAGUGGCGACAACAUUUGUUAGAUGCAGAUGCCAGGGAUAGUCUACAGACAUUGGAACUUUUAGCUGUAGUAUGGGCAAUGAUGAAUUUAAAAGGUCCUUUGAAUAUUGUGACUGACUCCCUUUAUGUAGCAGGAGUAGCUGCCAGGGUACUAUACUGGGGGAGGGGAUAUCUUUGUGUUUCCUCUCCAACAGGACCCUUGUGGAUCCCCGCAAAGUGGACUCGAGCUGUACCAGAUGUUCAGGACCGUCGCGGCCUUGUCACCGGAGGACAAAGAGAGGGUGCACAACAAGCUGACGCUGAUAUUGCGACCCUAUUUGCAACGCCUUCAGCCCUACUCUAACGACGCGCGACGUGCCUGCGUUCAUCUUCCUGACGAUUAGAUCGAGUGGUGUCAGGACCUUACGGUAGAAGUAAAAGCUCCUCAAUCACAGCCAUGCCUGGACUGUGGGGACAAUAAAUGCGCUGCAUGGAUCGCGCUAGACUGUGGAGGCUGUAAUAAGGUGUUUUGGUUGGAGCAAUCGACCGUUCAGCAAAACUGGUGCCCAAGCUGCCGAUUCUCUUGGAACUUGCAGAACUCGUGGCAGCGAGCACUAAGGGAUUUCACAGGGCUUGAUUUCGGAGGAUCGUUAGGCUUAUAUGAAGCCCCGGAGCAAAUUAUUUUAGCAUAUGUUACUUGGCAACUUAAAACCUUGUGUGAGCGAGUAGAAAAGCAAGUACGUACUCACAUAAUAGCUUAGCGCUGUCGAAAGCUUGUGCC